UCCGGGAGCCUCACAUGCCCCCCAACGUGACAGGUGGGAGGCGCCAGCCAGAUAGACAACAGCCUAUCUCGAAGAGUCCUAAAUGGGGAGCCGGGAGACUGCAGGGCCACGCUUGGAACUGCCUGGUUCCCACUGAGAGGGAAGCUGAGAUAGGGGAAGAACAGGACAGGCUGGGAGCCGAGCCCCUGUGGUUAGGGACAGCAGCACAGCACCGAGAGAGGAAACGUCCUCAGGGAAAUGUAGGGGCAGGUGGAAGCAGUGCUGUGGGGUGGGGAUGGGGAUGGCUGGGAUCCAGACUGCCUGAAUAUUUGGGAAGGAAGGGAAGGUGGCCCCACCCAGGACUCACAGAUGAGGUGCUGCACUGAGGUGGAGGCGUCCAGGCUCUCGCUGGCGAAGUGGCCGAUCUCCCCCCUGGGCGAAAGGAGAGGAAGUCGGGAGCCGCGCGGCGAACCUGGGACCUGGGCUCCAAUCCCAGCGCCCCCACUGGCUGGCCCUGUCUCUCAAUCUCUCUGUGAACUCUCGGCGCUUCAGCAGCCAAACGGGAAGCACCUGCUGCCUCUGCUGUGCAGGGCUGGGAAGGAGGAGGAAGGGUCCGCCAGAGGCCGACCACAGGAGGAUGGCGGGGGGCAGCAGGACCCCACGCUGCUAGAAGCAUAGGAGCCUGCCGGGGCUGGCCCUGGGUCCUGGUCUGUAUCAGUCCUGAGGACCAAGCAGAAGGCAGCCGGUAACGUGCAGUGGGUGAGCCCCACGGCUGGGCCCGGGGCUGCGGAAGGGAAAGACCCUGCUUUGGAUUCGCUCCUAAUCACGAACGCGCCCUCCAGCAAGGCCGGCCUCUGCCUCUCCAGCCACUCACCGAGCAAACAGGCAGAAAGAACCUUCUAGGACAGGCGUUGGGUGCCAGUGGGGGUGGGAGGCCGGAGAGCCUCUCAUCCGGAGUAGCCGGAUGAGCAAUUCCCCCCGUGGGCAGCCAUCGCGGGACGAAGGGACAGGCGGCGGCCAUCGCGGGACGUCUGAGGUUAAAUCUUAAACGAAGGAGAGGCUUCCUUUGGGUCGCCACACAGGGCUGGGCAGAGCAGAGAGGGGGUCAGAGGUUUGAGGACAUCCUCCCCGAUGGUGGCCCUUUGAGGUCAAGCAAAGACUCUCCUCUGGGGGUGUUUUGGCCACGUUUUCCUCUGCUGGGCUCUUGUUGGUUUGAGGAUUAUAGUCUGGAAGGAAAAACCAUCCUAGCAGUUACUGAAACAAUAUUUCAAACGGAGUUCAGACCGAGUGACAGAAUGGCUCAGGUAUUUUGUAGCUGUCCUCAACUGCAGCACCAAAGACUGUUGCUGCAGUCGGUGGCUCUGGGGUUUUCCUGCCUCCCUUGGAGCAGGGGCUUCCCUGACAACAGCCCCUCUCUGGGAGCUGUGUGGCAUCCAGCAGCCCUGCUCUCUAGGGGUGUGGGAGAGCAUGUUAGACCUGGAAGGUGAAAGAACUAAACGGGUACUCACAGAGUAGCAGCCGCUAGGAAGGCAGGAGGAAUAGGGAUGGGGGGGUAGGGCCUCUUUCCCUCCCUAAACUGACUACAGCUGGGGAAAGAACGGUGGCUAAUGAAAACUCAUGGUACUCUAACACUGACCCCAACAAUAAAGCUAUAUAACAAGAA